rnacentral:lncRNA from 1 species
GGCUACCACUGAGUCAUUCUGUAAUGCAAUCUUGAGUACAUCUUGGUCUCCAGAAUGUUGUUGAGGCUGCAUCUUAUGGUAUGCCUUAGCAAAUCCAUUAAGAAGCAAACCCGUGUGACCACCAAUAACAGAGCCCACAAUAUUUGCAAUAUCUAUAAAAUUAAUAAUUAACUCUAAUAUCUAAUUUUUCAGUAAAAAAAAAAACUCUAAUAUCUAAUUUAAUAUAUACUAGACUUUGACAUGCACAUCCGUGUAGGUAGACUUUCAUUUUAUAAUAUAUAGUUUUCAUAUUAUAUUUUGUCUAUAAUAAUUUAUAUAUGAUGCAUUGUUGUGAUUUUCAAAAUAAAUAAAUUGAUAAUAUAUAGCUGUAGAUAUGAGAGUAGAUAUAAGAGAGCUUGAGGUCAUGUGUAAGUACUGCUCUCCCAGUUUUCUAAAUGGGAUUUUAGAUAAUUAACAAGUGGACGAUGGAUAAAUUGAUUUUGACCAUUAUCAAACUAUCAUAUGAAUUGUUAAACCAUUCAUUAUAACUCCAAAGUCAAUAACAUGGUCAUUAAUAUUUAUAAUCAUAUUUCAUUGGUACAUUUAGUUAAUAUUAAUGAUCGCUUUUGUUUGUAAGGAUAUCAUUAGUUAGCUAGGGUGGACCAUGAUCUCUGCGAUAAUUCUCCAUUUAUUUUGCCUUCCAUGGUUGUUGUGCUCUUUUGUCUAUUUACCAACUCGUGUUUCGAAAUCUCACAAAUUUGACGAAGGUCUUUGCUUCAAUUACCUAGGCCAUGUUUAGUGCUGGAUAUGUAUUUCCAAAAGAAUAUAGUAAUUUUUUCAGUCUAGUAUGGUGCUUCAUAUUUCGGUAACAUAUAAUCUCCUUGUUUUUGUAUGUUGCUUCAUGUUUCAGUAGCAUUUUUUUAUAUCAUACUCCAAUAUAAUCUCCUUGGUUUUGUGUUACUGGUUGAUGCGACAAAAUUCUUGAUAUUCCACCUUUUUUUCUUUGUCAGCAUUGCCUAUAACAAGUUGUGCAAUUUCAAAUAAAGCGCUUGUUCACAAAAUAAAUUAUCUUACAUGAAACUCAACUAGCAUAUCCUACCAUAUUUGUUAAACAAAAACAUCAAAAAAUCACUUUCGAGAUGUUAAAUUAGUUCAUGAAUUAACUAGUGAGAGCUCUAACAAAAUAUCAAAAUGUAACAAACUUCAUUUAUAUAACAAGAAAAGUUUUGCAUCAAUUUCGGUAAAUCUGUCUUCCAACUUAUCUUCUGAUAUUUUUCUAACAAUAGAAAAUGAACACAAGAGAUGAUGAGCUUAGAGUCUCAAGGUAAGAUCAGGCUUUGACCUAUUGUUAUUAUCUACUACACUUCCAUCAGCUGCAACCGAGUUAAGAUCAAGACCUGACUCUCUAACAGCCACCACCACUGGAGCUUCAGCUUCCUCAACAACCUGACGAAAACUCCCGGGCCAGAAUAAAUCACUGCCAUCAUCAUAGUCAAAGAGCAAUGGCACGG